rnacentral:lncRNA from 1 species
GCUUGUUAUUUUUUAACAGAGUAUCGAACAUCCUUAAAAAGACAACUUCAGAGAACAAUUGUAGGUCUUUCACCUCUUAUGUUAUAUCUUGAUCUAAACCCGCACAUACAUAAAACAUUUUUAAUUGCUGGUACAACUUUCUCAAAUGAAAGUCCACAGUCAAGAAGGUCCAUUACACACUGAUCUGUUUGACUGUUAAAAGUGUAUUGACCAUUUUUGGAUUCGGUAGUAAGUUCAAUUGUACGGUCAUUUAAAU